rnacentral:rRNA from 1 species
AGAGCGGCGAACGGGUGAGUAACACGUAGAUAAUCUGCCUUGAGGUUGGGGAUAGCCUGUGGAAACACAGGGUAAUACCGAAUAAGCCCUACGGGGGAAAGGUGCUAAGGCACCGCCUUAAGAUGAGUCUGCGGCUCAUUAGUUAGUUGGUGGGGUAACGGCCUACCCAAGGCGACGAUGAGUAGCCGGCCUGAGAGGGUGGACGGCCACACUGUGACUGAGACACGGCCCAGACUCCUACGGGAGGCAGCAGCUAAGAAUCUUCCGCAAUGGGCGCAAGCCUGACGGAGCGACGCCGCGUGAACGAUGAAGGCCGUGAGGUUGUAGAGUUCUUUUCUUACUGAAGAAUAAUUACCCGAGGGAAUGCGGGUAAGAUGACGUUAGGUAAGGAAUAAGCCCAGGCUAAUUACGUGCCAGCAGCCGCGGUAACACGUAAGGGGCAAGCGUUGUCCGGAAUCAUUGGGCGUACAAGGGCGUGUAGGCCGGUUUCACAAGUCUGGUGUGAAAUACCGCAGCCUAAACUGCGGGGACGCGCUGGAAACUGUAAGACUAGAGUACAGGAGGGGGACCUGGAAUUCCUGGUGUAGGGGUGAAAUCUGUAGAUAUCAGGAAGAACACCGGUGGCGAAGGCGAGGUCCUGGCCAUGUACUGACGCUGAGGCGCGAAAGCGUGGGGAGCGAACAGGAUUAGAUACCCUGGUAGUCCACGCCGUAAACGAUGUGCACUAGGUGCUUGGGGGUAGCCUUGAGUGCCGUAGCUAACGCGUUAAGUGCACCGCCUGGGGAGUAUGCUCGCAAGGGUGAAACUCAAAGGAAUUGACGGGGGCCCGCACAAGCGGUGGAACAUGUGGUUUAAUUCGAUGAUACGCGAGGAACCUUACCUGGGCUUAAAUGUGAAGUGCAUUGAUUGGAAACAAUCAUUUCCUUCGGGACCCUUUACAAGGUGCUGCAUGGUUGUCGUCAGCUCGUGCCGUGAGGUGUCGGGUUAAGUCCCAUAACGAGCGCAACCCCUAUUGUUAGUUACCAGCGCGUAAAGGCGGGGACUCUAGCGAAACUGCCGGUGUAAACCGCGAGGAAGGUGGGGAUGACGUCAAAUCAGCUCGGCCCUUAUGUCCAGGGCUACACACGUGUUACAAUGGCCGGUACAGCGGGCAGCUAGGCAGCGAUGUCAUGCUAAUCCCGAAAGCCGGUCCCAGUUCGGAUUGGAGUCUGCAACCCGACUCCAUGAAGGUGGAAUCGCUAGUAAUCGCGCAUCAGCCAUGGCGCGGUGAAUACGUUCCCGGGCCUUGUACACACCGCCCGUCAAGCCAUGGAAGUCUGGGGUGCCUGAAGGCCGUAACCGCA